rnacentral:misc_RNA from 1 species
GUAGGUGAACCUGCGGAAGGAUCAUUAGUGAUUGGCGCAAGCCUUUACCUUUCAUACACCUGUGCACCGUCGGUCUUCGGACCUUUACAAACAAAUAGUAACGAACGUAAAACAUUAUAAUAAAUAAAACUUUUAACAACGGAUCUCUUGGCUCUC